CGAACAGAGGAAACACAGCCUGAGCACGUGCAUAACACAUGACCACAUUGGAGCAGUAAGUGAGGGUGCACUGGUAGGUGGCCCCAUGUGAAGGUGCUUGGUAAUAAUGCCUAACAAGUGCACUGGUAGGUGGCACCAUGCGAGGGUGUUCGGCAAUGAUGCCUAACAGGUGCGCUGGUAGGCAGAGGGUGCUAGGACAUGAUGCCAAACAAGUGCGCAACACUUGAGGUUGCUAGGCAGUGACGCAGAACAGUGUCAGCUACACCACAUAAAGGUGCUCGUUGGUAUGGCCGAACAUGUGAUAUUGUUCAAUGAGUUAGCCUAACACGUGGUACAGGUGCAUCGUAGUAACUGUGCACCACCGAUGUACAUUGGACCAACUCUAUCUGGAUCGUUGAUGUGGUGUGGCAGUAUAAUGUUCCAGAAGGUUCUAGAAAGGAAAUCCUACGUGAUAGGCAAGUGUCCCAUGAAUAAAGGGAUUAUAAUUGAGUUACCAUAUGGGAGGGAAUUCCAUAUGGGCUAGGAUUCCUAAUGAGGUUGGAACCCUAGGCAGAGAAGGAGACUUGGAGAACAAGUAAGUCUACAUCUAUAAAUAAGAAGUAACACCCACGAAGGGAGGUAGGUUGAUAUACAUUAUUUUUACCUACUGUGAAUUAGGGUUUUAUGAGUACGAAAUACUGACUUUGGCAUCGGAGGGCCUUUGUCGACAAGAGGCAAAGUGCGCU